AUUUUAAUGAAAAAUGCACAAAAUUAAUAGAAUCAUAGAAUAUAUAAAAUUGAUAUCAGAUCCUUUAUUCUAGGAAUGGAAAGGUCAGACUCACCUACAGUCACACAGCAAGACACUGGAGAAACCAAGCCUAUAAUCCAGGACUGCAGUAUGCCUCUCCUAUGUGACUAGGAACGCCUUAGGCAAAACCUUCCUUAGGCACAGAUAUAGACUUUUUGACAUUUGUGCCUCAAGAACAGUGGAGAAAAGCCAUGUUGGGAUGGAUAAACUACACAAGUAACAACUGCAGAUAUCAACUUCAGGUCUGCAAAGAAGAACUGACCUUACUGAGGCUCUAUGCCACACACUGGAAAUACCUGAUAUGUUAAGAGAGUCCGAAUUUCAAAAGGCACAUGAGACAUGAUCUCCUCAUUGCGAUCAUUUUGCUGAGUUCCAACUGGGAAACAAGUGGGGGUGCCAAUGAUUUCUCCUUUUGCGGAUGCUUGUUCCUUUAAAAUCUUGCUGGGGAUUGAACCAGCAUUCUCAUUCCUGUUUGAGAAAACUGAGGCUCAAAAAGAAGAAAAUGUGUUAGAAUUGAAACCUGACAGUACAGAUAAGGUAGGUAAGAAGAGUAAUUCAGAAAUAAAAUUAUGCCUAAUUAUCUUCUGUAAUUAAUACUGUUUUUAAAUUUUUCUGGUUUAUCAUGAAAGUUCAGUUGAUUUUCUUCUUGUUUUUAAGCCUCACUAUCAUCCAGCCUGGCCCCCUGAACUCCUGGGCUCAAGUGAUCCUUCUGCCUCAACCUCCUGAGUAGCUGGGACUAAAGUUGUGCACCACGGUGUCCAGGUGAUUUUCUCCUUUUGUUUACCAAUUGUAAUAAAUAAAUAGUCUGUAGAUAUACUUAGGGGUGUAUGCACA
rnacentral:lncRNA from 1 species